CCUACGGGAGGCAGCAGUGAGGAAUAUUGGUCAAUGGACGAGAGUCUGAACCAGCCAAGUAGCGUGAAGGAUGACUGCCCUAUGGGUUGUAACCUUCUUUUAUAAAGGAAUAAAACGAGGCACGUGUGCCUUUUUGCAUGUACUUUAUGUAUAAGGAUCGGCUAACUCCGUGCCAGCAGCCGCGGUAAUACGGAGGAUACGAGCGUUAUCCGGAUUUAUUGGGUUUAAAGGGAGCGUAGAUGGGUUGUUAAGUCAGUUGUGAAAGUUUGCGGCUCAACCGUAAAAUUGCAAUUGAUACUGGCAGUCUUGAGUGCAGUUGAGGUAGGCGGAAUUCGUGGUGUAGCGGUGAAAUGCUUAGAUAUCACGAAGAACCCCGAUUGCGAAGGCAGCUUACUAAACUGUGACUGACAUUGAUGCUCGAAAGUGUGGGUAUCAAACAGGAUUAGAUACCCGGGUAGUC
rnacentral:rRNA from 1 species